rnacentral:lncRNA from 1 species
UAUUCUAAUUUUUAUAUGGUAUCAGAGCAAAUCAAUCCAUCCUCUCCUGAUUAGAUUCCUCAUGAUAAGAUAUUGUCGGAUUUUCUUCCCACUCCCACCACAUACAGCAAGAUUUCUUUAUCGGUGUUAUUAUCUUUUCGGCAAGUGAUUGCCAAACUAUUGCUUGUUGAUUUUCAUUUUCUCACCAUUAGUUGUAUCUGGCAA